CUCUUUUGGAAGAGGAGGCUGAAGAAGCCAUGCUGUUUGUAUUUUGCAAUGCAUCUUGAAUCUUGAAAUGCCUACAAGGACUAUAAUAGAAAAUUCAACAAAUUCCUCUCCAGGCCUACGGAACCACAAAAUUGACUGUAAAUUCAGGCCUUUUAUGUGCAACUUCACUAUUGCUCAAUAGGUAAGUAGACAUGUUUGAUUUAGUUGUGCCAUUUUAAAACUGUGUUAUCUGACAAAUUGAGUAAAGAAUGCAUAAUUAGAUCAUGCUACCACAUUUA
rnacentral:lncRNA from 11 species